rnacentral:piRNA from 1 species
UGAAGCAGCGUUGGCCUGUGUGUG